AUCGAUCUUGGCGAGGUUUAUAGCAAGAAAAAAAAAGAAACUUGAAAUUUCUUUUUCUUUUUUUUGGCUAUAGCAAAACAAAAUAUAAUCACUUUUUUUAUCG
rnacentral:rRNA from 1 species